AGACCGUGCUUAUCGUAAGAAAAAUAGUACAGAAGAGAAAAAUAUGGGGAAAAAAGGAGCCCCUUUGCAAUUUUUCUCUAACUCCAAUUUCACUUUCUGAAAAGUAACCACUGUAUGCAGUUGUCAGAGUCUUCAUAAAUUUUCUAAGCAUAUUCAAGUGCAUGCACUUUUUUUUUGCUCGUAACGUUAAGAGAAUUGGGGGCACUACAAUAUAUCCUGAAGACACGACAGCCCUCAGACCCACAGCCUUGUUUCUAAAGACUUCUAGCAUUGCACCAUACUGAACCUGUCCCCUACCGGCCAACAUUUCAGGUAACUCAAGGAUUUUGCUGUUUAACAUAUAUACUCUUUGGCAUGUGUCCAAGUAUACUCAUGGGAUACAUUUAUAGAAAUGGAAUUUCUCGGUCAGAGGAUAUGUGCAUUUUUAAUUUCUACAGAUACUGCCCAGUGCUCUUCAAAAAGGUUGUAUCAUUCACCCGCCCAUCAAUAAUGCACGUGGCAGGGUAUCUGUUCCCAGCACCCUUGCCCACCCUGGCAAGGAUGCAGUGUGUCAGAGGAAGCAAAUCCUAAAUGAGGUAAGUGGACUUUUCAUGUGGGCCUGGCUGGGGGUGGACAUGGCCUCCGAGGUUAUCCCUGUAGCUGUCUGAGGCGAUAAGCUGUCCAGAGUUCUCACUAGUUUGGGUUUUAUAAACAAAGACAGGAUUUGGGGAGGUGAGCCAGAACCAUGCAGCGAGAAGCAUUGUGCAACUCAGUAUUUAUUUUUUUAGUACAGUUAGAACUUAAAUAUGGUCAAAACAUAUUCUUCUUUUAAUUUACACAAACAAAUAUGUUCCCAGGCUGACACCUCGGGUGCCAAGUUUCUAGGGGAAAUGAAAUUCUACUGCGAGAUUAAACCACUAGAGAGAAGAUGGAAAUGGGAAAGCCACCGUGAGUUAGCUUUACACGUCCAGAGCUGGGCUGCUGAGAGGUGUCUCUUUCUGUCUUAGCUGCAGAGAAACCUGCCAGUAAUUUCAGCAAACGAAACGUGCAACGCAUCAAGGCCAGAGGAUGGAGAACACUCCAGUUUUGACAAAAGGAGGUCUGCUCAGCUUGGCAUCCUCCCUCCUGCGAGGCAGGAGAUGCAAAGAUAUAUCCAGAGGGGAUGAUGAAUUGAGAGAAAAGAAACGAGACCAAUCCCCUGACUCAGCAGUGACACAUGAAUGACACUCAAUAAAUAGUCAUCGAAUGGACCAACCAACGCCACCAUCACCUCCACCCGGGCCUCCAACUGAAAUCGCGGAAACCCUUUAUAGCCACCCUGACCUCCAGUUCCCAUUUCAGACAGGCUGGUAUCCAUGAUGUCACAUGAUAGAUCAUUCCAGAAAAAGACUGGCCGAGAGGAGGGAGAUAGGGCAGCCAGGGUUGGGUGUGUUUUUUCUUUAAUUAUUAUACCUGUUCUGUCCACUCUUUCUUGGCUCUGUUCACAUCCUUACGCCAGUACCAGCUCAGGGGAAAAACGAAACAAAACAUUAGCCCCAGAGUUGGAGACGAUAGCUGGCUGGUUCCCUCUUGGCUUGUAAUUAAUGCUGAAAAUGUUCAUGACUUGCCUUGGCCGCAAAGGUAAUAAUAAAACUCUGAAGCCUGAUUAUUUGGCUAC